rnacentral:lncRNA from 1 species
AUUGAAGUAUUGGUUAGAACAGCUGAAACACCAUAAACAUAGUAUUACAACAACAACAACGAACGGCUGUUGCAACAACAGGUAACAACUAAUACAAUAGCAUAGGUUGAAGCAUUGGAUGGAGCAACCGAAACACUAUGGACAUAGUAUUACAACAAUAUCGAACAAUUGUUGCAACAAUAUGCAACAACUAAUACAACAGUGCAGAUUGAAGCAUUGGAUGGAGCAACUGAAACACCAUGGACAUAGUACUACAACAACAACAAACAACUGUUGUAACAACAUGAAACAAACUACUACAACAUACAGAUUGAAGCAACUGAAACAUCUCAAAAACACAAUACUGAAACAACGACUGAAACCUACUGCAACGUCUAGAAAGAACCAUUGCAACAAUGACAAAAUCUGAAGCUGAGAGCUUGCCGAAAAUCCUAUCAUACUGCAACAUCACCUGAAAAACUGAAAAUAACCACCAUUACAACACGCGAGAGCACUGAAUCCCAAGAGCUCGCCGGAACCCUAGCCAACACAUCUCAUAGAUCUAGACCCAGAGGAAGAGGAGAAGGAGGAGGAGCAGAGGAGGGCCUAGAUCCAGAUCCACAAAAGAGGAGGGAGGGAAAAGGAAGAGGGAGGCCUCAGAUCCAAAUCUCUCCCCACCUACCUCGUCGGAGCCGCGCCGUUCUCUCCAUCUCCGGAUGCAUGGAGGUUAUGAGAGCGAGGGAAAAAGGGCAGGGAGAAAGGGAGCUGCGCCGCUCACUGGAUGCUACCACCGUCACGCUCUACUCCGGUGGCUUCGAGGGCGCGUGGGUCGCAGCGAGGAGGGAGGGAGGAGCGGCUCGCCAUUGGCGCGGCAGGAAGUGCGGACGCAUGGUGGGAGCAACGAGGAGGGAGGGAGGAGCGGCUCGCCAUUGGCGCGGCAGGAAGUGCAGCCGCAUGGUGAGAGCGGCGGGGCGGCAGCGAGACGAGAGAAAAGAGUGGAGAGGAAAAAAAUGAGUGGAUAAGAAGGCAUAGAGGAGGAGCGAAA